GGCGAUAUGGCCGAGCGGUCUAAGGCGCCAGAAUCAGGCUAUGUAUCUGGUCCGUAAGGGCGUGAGUUCGAAUCUCACUGUCGUCA
rfam:Hydnomerulius pinastri MD-312 unplaced genomic scaffold scaffold_14, whole genome shotgun sequence.